rnacentral:rRNA from 1 species
GAUGAACGCUAGCGGGAGGCUUAACACAUGCAAGUCGAGCGGCAAUCCCGAGCAAUCGGGACUAGAGCGGCGCACGGGUGAGUAACGCGUAUGCAACCUGCCUUUUACAGGGGGAUAGCCCGGAGAAAUCCGGAUUAAUACCCCAUGGAACUAUAAAGCCGCAUGGUUUAAUAGUUAAAGAUUUAUCGGUAAGAGAUGGGCAUGCGUGACAUUAGCUAGUUGGCGGGGUAACGGCCCACCAAGGCUACGAUGUCUAGGGGUUCUGAGAGGAUGAUCCCCCACACUGGUACUGAGACACGGACCAGACUCCUACGGGAGGCAGCAGUGAGGAAUAUUGGUCAAUGGGCGCAAGCCUGAACCAGCCAUCCCGCGUGAAGGAUGAAUGUACUAUGUAUUGUAAACUUCUUUUCUGCAAAGAGAAAGGGCACUACGUGUAGUGUUUUGACGGUAUUGCAGGAAUAAGCAUCGGCUAACUCCGUGCCAGCAGCCGCGGUAAUACGGAGGAUGCGAGCGUUAUCCGGAUUCAUUGGGUUUAAAGGGUGCGUAGGCGGUUUUUUAAGUCAGUGGUGAAAUCCUGCGGCUCAACCGUAGAACUGCCAUUGAAACUGAAGAACUUGAAUAUAGUUGAGGUAGGCGGAAUGUGCAGUGUAGCGGUGAAAUGCUUAGAUAUUGCACAGAACACCGAUUGCGAAGGCAGCUCACCAAGCUAUUAUUGACGCUGAGGCACGAAAGCGUGGGGAUCGAACAGGAUUAGAUACCCUGGUAGUCCACGCCUUAAACGAUGUUCACUCGCUGUUUGCGAUAUACCGUAAGCGGCCAAGCGAAAGCAUUAAGUGAACCACCUGGGGAGUACGUCGGCAACGGUGAAACUCAAAGGAAUUGACGGGGGCCCGCACAAGCGGUGGAGCAUGUGGUUUAAUUCGACGCAACGCGCAGAACCUUACCAGCCCUUGACAUCCCGGUCGCGGACUCCAGAGACGGAGUUCUUCAGUUCGGCUGGACCGGAGACAGGUGCUGCAUGGCUGUCGUCAGCUCGUGUCGUGAGAUGUUGGGUUAAGUCCCGCAACGAGCGCAACCCCCGUCCUUAGUUGCUACCAUUUAGUUGAGCACUCUAAGGAGACUGCCGGUGAUAAGCCGCGAGGAAGGUGGGGAUGACGUCAAGUCCUCAUGGCCCUUACGGGCUGGGCUACACACGUGCUACAAUGGCGGUGACAAUGGGAAGCGAAGGGGCAACCCCUAGCAAAUCUCAAAAAGCCGUCUCAGUUCGGAUUGGGCUCUGCAACUCGAGCCCAUGAAGUUGGAAUCGCUAGUAAUCGUGGAUCAGCAUGCCACGGUGAAUACGUUCCCGGGCCU